UACGUAGGGAGCAAGCGUUGUCCGGAAUUAUUGGGCGUAAAGGGCGCGUAGGCGGCCUGGCAAGUGGAAGGUGAAAUCCCUCGGCUUAACCGAGGAACUGCCCUCCAAACUGCUUGGCUUGAGUCCGGGAGAGGUGAGUGGAAUUCCCAGUGUAGCGGUGAAAUGCGUAGAUAUUGGGAGGAACACCAGUGGCGAAGGCGGCUCACUGGACCGGAACUGACGCUGAGGCGCGAAAGCGUGGGGAGCAAACGGG
rnacentral:rRNA from 1 species